CAUUAUAAUUUAUUAAAUUCAGUUUAAAAAAAUAGUUUGGUUCUUUGCGCAUGCGCACAAAUGCACAUUUUCCCUGGUGCUAAAAGGAGUUUCCAGUCAGGUUCACGGUGACGGUGGGAAAGGAAGACGGGAUAUUUCAGCCCCGGAGUUUUGCUCAGUCGGUCUAUUUGCACAGACAGUCAACAAGAUGACUUAUUGAAAGACCUGGAAAACAUCACCAUGGACAUAUGUGUAAUCAAAAAGAAAGAAGGUUUUCUUGGCGACUAUGACGAUAUUGGAGUCGUUGUUGGAGUGAUGAUUCUUGAGCAGCUCAAAUCUGUGGCACAAGCCUGCAUUGAUGCUGGGUACAAUCUAUGUGCUUAAUUUGGCGUACCCCAAAGAACUAAAAUACUACUUUUUUGAAAUUUUUUAGAAAUUCAUUAUGCAGAUGGAUUCUAAAGCUCUCCCCAAAAAUUCAAGGACUUUUUUUUUUUUUUUUUUUUUUCCUUUAUUUAUUUGAAAGGGACAAUGCACAUCAAUCAACAUUUUUUGUUUGCACUCAAAAUGUAAAUGCGCCAGAGUUAGCUAAAGAGCUAUUUUUCAUCUGCAGUCCCUUGGCAGGUCAACACAGUACAAAAAUACAUAAAAACCACAAAACAAAAUAAACACUAAGUAGAUAAAUAAUAAAUACAAUACAAAAAUACAAAAAUGGGCAGUACCUAAAAUCAGAUUAACUAUCAAUGAUUGCAUUUUUGAGAGUUUUUAAUCCAUUUCUUAAGUUUAAAUUUAAACGAUAAAUAGCUGGUGCUCUUUCUAAGUUCAGUAGGGAGACAAUUCCAAUAACUCGAGGCCCGUACCGAGAAGACUGCCUGGCCAAACUUACUUCGCCUGUACUGUAUAACACAGUCUCCCCUGGUAGCUGCCCUAUUUGCCCUCCCAUUGUUGUCCUUCAGUUUUACAAAUUCACCCAGCGGUGGAGGUGCAAGCCCAUGUGUAAUUUUAAAAACUAGACAGGCAUCUGAAUAAUUUAAAAAAUUGUUAAACUGAAAAACGUUUUAAAGGUGCAGUGCGUAAUUUUUAUCGUCAUCUAGUGGUGAGGUUGCGAGUUGCAACCAACGGCUUAGUCCACGGCUCACUUCUCGUUUUUGAAACACAUAGAGAAGGACAAACAUGUCAUCGUUGGAGACAACUUAGCAAAAAAUUGUCCUUUAAGGGCUUCUGUAAAAAAAAUGGCAGCACAAAAUGGCGACUUCCAUGUAAGGGGACCCUCGGUGUAUGUAGAUGAAAAGGUCUUGUUCUAAGGCAAUAAACACAUAACGGUUCAUUAUGAAAGGUGUUUAUACACCCGUGAUAAUAUAGUUUUGUAUGUUAUUUUGCAUUUCUGUCAAAAGAUCCUCUUAAAAAUUUCACACUGCACCUUUAAUACUGAAAUGUUGUAGCAGACAUGUAUGUGCAUGCUCAGCAUGAAAUGUUAGUCCAGAUGUCACAGUCUACUCUGUUUAUCAUUUAAGACCUGGGAAUCCGUAGUUUUAAACAUUUUAAUAAUGCUUUUAAUGAUUCAUAACUGUUGUCUGUAAAAAUGUAACACUUUUUUUAAAAAUAAUUAUUGUGCAAUGUGUGAAGUCAGCACUACUGUUUUUGACUUUUGUGCUGUUUUAUUGAUUCACAAACAUUGUGGCCUCUUUCCAUCUGUGUUUUUUUAUUUUAUAUUUUGUGAAUGUGCAGUGAGCACUUGUUUUAAACACUUGUACACACAAAGAAAUUGUUAUUGAACAUGCACUACAUUUGCUGAAUAACAUUAAACUUACCACUUGGUGUAUUUGCAAA